UACGAAGGGGGCUAGCGUUGUUCGGAUUUACUGGGCGUAAAGCGCACGUAGGCGGAUCGAUCAGUCAGGGGUGAAAUCCCAGAGCUCAACUCUGGAACUGCCUUUGAUACUGUCGAUCUGGAGUAUGGAAGAGGUGAGUGGAAUUCGAGUGUAGAGUGAAAUUCGUAGAUAUUCGGAGGAACACCAGUGGCGAAGGCGGCUCACUGGUCAUUACUGACGCUG
rnacentral:rRNA from 1 species